rnacentral:snRNA from 1 species
CGCCCACCUCAGCAGCACUAAAAGUGCAACAAUACAGAGGAGACUGGCAUGGCCCCUGCACAAGAUGGCACGCAAAUUUAUGAAGUGUUCCGUACUUAA